CAAGCAGAGAGAUCACUUCAGCCAAACUUCUCACAGCGUGUAGUGAGCAUAUCAGGAGAACUACAUACUUGCAACAAAACAGAUUCUCACAGCAGAAAUACAUACACUGUCUGCCCAAAUACAGAGAUUCCAGCAGCUGCUUGGUAUCCUCUGCCUUCUGAGUCUCCUGUACUUGCUUUACUAGUGUGAGCUUACCUGAAUCCUGCUGUAAAAGCUGUACUUCCCUGGUAUUCCGUGACAGCCUCAACAACAAUACUAACUUGGUUUCCUGUGCCUCCUUAGUCUCCUUUACUUGGUGUACCAGUGGCAGCUUCCCUGAAUAUUGCUGUACCAGCUGCACUUACCUGGCAUCCCACAACUGCCUCACCAACAGUACCCGCUGGGUAUCCUGUGCCUGCUGAGUUUCCUGCAUUUUCUGUACUGGUGGCAGCUUACCUGAAUCCUGCUGUACCAGCUGAACUUACCUGGUAUCCCGUGUCAACCUCAUGAACAGUACCUGCUUAGUAUCCUGUACCUGCUGAGUCACCUUUACUUGCUGUACCAGCGGCAGCUUACCUGAAUCUUGUUGUACCAGCUGCACUUACCUGUCAUUCCAUGACAGCCUCACCAACAGUACUUGCUUGGCAUUCUGUGCCUGCUGAGUUUCCUGCACUUGCUGUACCAGCUGCACUUAACUUGUAUUCUGUACCAGCCUCAUCAACAGCACUUGUUUGAUGUUGCUCCUGCUUUACCCUUUUGUACCAUAUUGCUGGACUGAUCCCACAGUACCCAACCGUUGGCUUGUUCCAGGACUCUGCUCUUGUUUACCACUUGGGCUAUAGUUGCUGGACUGAUCUCAUGGUACUUAACCUUUGAUUAAUUCUCUGUUUCUGUUUUUCUUGUUUUAUUAAAGCCCUUAAAUGAC